AUUUAUACUUGCAGUCAUAAUUUUUAUUUGUUCUUACUGAAAAAGAAAAAAUCGAAAUUAUUUGGAUAUUUACUUGCCUUCCGAAAAGAAUCUCCGCAACUUUCCGGUUGUAGUACUCAUAUUUGGUGGCGCUUGGGUUAUUGGUUACAAAGCCUGGGGUGCUCUACUUGGAAAAUAUUUAAGCCAACACGGUAUACUUGUGGUUAUACCGGACUACGCCAACUUCCCACAGGCAUUAACUUAGCUUAUAAAUUCGACUACAAGUUUACUGUAAAGAGCAGGGUAGAAUUAACGACAUGCUGAAAGACGUUGAAUAUUCUAUAAAGUGGACUAUAAAAAAUUGCUGGAAGUACGGUGGUGUAAGCCUAAGAUACUUAACCAGACAUAAUUUUUUAUAUUAAAAAUUAUUUUGUAAAUCUAAGGAUCCUAAUAGCGUCUACCUUGCCGGUAAUUUAUAAAGAUUUCCGCCUUUUAUGCAUACUAUUAUUUAAAGAAGGGCACUCGGCCGGCGCACAUAUUGCAGCCCUUUUUUUACUUUUCCAAGCUGAGCUUGAGAAAGAAAAUUGGUUAUCAAAGGAGAAUUCCUCCGAAACUCACAUCGAAAAUCUGACGGUACCAAAGGUUUCAGACUUUAGAGGCUUUAUAGGCAUUUCCGGAGCUUAUGAUGUCUUCCAGUACGCCGAACAUUUUCAUUCUCGAGGCCUCCAUCGGCGCCUUCUUUCAUCAAUUAUGAACCAAGACUUGAAGCAUUAUUCACCGACUCGACGACUUAAGCUAUUCGCCAUUGAUUCAACGACGACUUACUCCACUCUACCACCCUUCGCUCUUUUUCAUGGGGCCUGCGAUAAGAGCAUUCCAGCUGACUCGACUGAACACUUUAGUGAGGCUCUGAAGAAUGUCGGCGUUGUUUCCAGUGUCAGAUUAUACGAGAAAAAGGCGCACACUGAUUUCGUUGUUGAGGAUCUCAUGCUGGGUUCAUUUUUCUCGCUUUGGCGGUGAAAGUCCACUUGUCUCUGACAUUUGUUCCUUUAUAUAUGCUCACUGCCCCUCAAAACACACCUCCUUCUCUUUUCUAUCAAGUUCAACGCAUUUCCGAGGCAUAUGUAGUCAUAAAAUUGAUAAUAAUCUUCCUUUGGUUUGUCGCACAAAUGUGAAAUGGGCUAAACGCGUAAAUCCUUUCUAGUCAACUAAACGUUUUGGUUUUUUAGGC